AGAGUUUGAUCCUGGCUCAGGAUGAACGCUAGCGGCAGGCCUAACACAUGCAAGUCGAGGGGUAACAGGAGAGCUUGCUUUUGCUGACGACCGGCGCACGGGUGCGUAACGCGUAUGCAACCUACCUCAUACUGGAGCAUAGCCCUUGGAAACGGGGAUUAAUACUCCAUGGUAUCAUGAAUUCGCAUGUUUUCAUGAUUAAAGAAUUUCGGUAUGAGAUGGGCAUGCGUCCCAUUAGCUAGUUGGUGAGGUAACGGCUCACCAAGGCGACGAUGGGUAGGGGGCCUGAGAGGGUGGUCCCCCACACUGGUACUGAGACACGGACCAGACUCCUACGGGAGGCAGCAGUGAGGAAUAUUGGUCAAUGGAGGCAACUCUGAACCAGCCAUGCCGCGUGAAGGAUGACGGCCCUAUGGGUUGUAAACUUCUUUUAUAUGGGAAGAAACUUAUCUACGUGUAGAUAACUGACGGUACCAUACGAAUAAGGAUCGGCUAACUCCGUGCCAGCAGCCGCGGUAAUACGGAGGAUCCAAGCGUUAUCCGGAUUCAUUGGGUUUAAAGGGUCCGUAGGCGGAUUUUUAAGUCAGUGGUGAAAGCCGACAGCUCAACUGUCGAACUGCCAUUGAUACUGGAGAUCUUGAGUACAAAUGAAGUAGGCGGAAUGAGUCAUGUAGCGGUGAAAUGCAUAGAUAUGACUCAGAACACCAAUUGCGAAGGCAGCUUACUAACAUGUAACUGACGCUGAGGGACGAAAGUGUGGGGAGCGAACAGGAUUAGAUACCCUGGUAGUCCACGCCGUAAACGAUCAUCACUCGCUGUUGGCGAUAUACAGUCAGCGGCCAAGCGAAAGUAUUAAGUGAUGCACCUGGGGAGUACGCCGGCACGGUGAAACUUAAAGGAAUUGACGG
rnacentral:rRNA from 1 species